CCAGUUAAACGAAGGUAGAUGAACAUUAAAAAAUGAAGUACUUCACGUUGAGUCUAUUUCUUUAUUUUUUUAGGGCGAAUUCAUCGCCAAUCUAUACUACGAAUGCAAGUAGCACUUUAUCACCUUUCAGUAGGGAGAUGCUGAAGAUAGAAAGGGACUUGCUACUCCAGAACAAUAAGACUGCUGCAUUAAUGACUAUGUUAGCCCAUGAACGUUUAGAAUGGCGUGAAUGUAACAAAAUAAUUGGGGCAUUAGAAAAAGAGAGGGACGACGCAAUUGCAGAAGUUAAAAAAAUCAUCAUUCCACUAAACGUUUGCUCAUUUGGAACCAUAAUUGAGACCCUAUUUCUGGACAUUAUGACAGACAACACAACAACGAUACCUAAGGACACACCAGAGCGGAGUACAAAUCUAAUCCUGAGACAACUCAGGUGGCGCAAAAUUAUUACCGCUGGGCUAGAAAGAGACAACGAUUAUGUAAAAUUACUAGUCGAUGAAUUAGAUACAAAUUUCAAGAGAGAAAAUAACUUUACGACGAUUGAUAAGAAGAGCGAAAAAUACGAAGAUUACGUUUCGAAAUUCUGUUGGUCCAUUGUUCGAGCUAUUAAUCUUGUAAACAAAAUAAAUGCACUCGCUGCAGAUGGUGUCGGCAGAUUGGAUUCUACAAUAUUCGGCAACAUAGUGGAUAAGUACAUGGAAAUGUUUUACAAUGCAAUGGUGGGGUCACGUAAGGGCAAAUCAGACGUUGAGUGUACUUAGAUCAUGAGUUAGAUUAAAUUCUAGAUCACGUAUAUAG